rnacentral:rRNA from 1 species
UACGGGGGGGGGCAAGCGUUGUUCGGAAUUACUGGGCGUAAAGGGCUCGUAGGCGGCCAACUAAGUCGGAUGUGAAAUCCCCAGGCUUAACCUGGGAACUGCAUCCGAUACUGGAUGGCUUGAAUCCGGGAGAGGGAUGCAGAAUUCCAGGUGUAGCGGUGAAAUGCGUAGAUAUCUGGAGGAAUACCGGUGGCGAAGGCGGCAUCCUGGACCGGCAUUGACGCUGAGUGAGCGAAAAGCUGAGGGGAGCAAACGGGG